rnacentral:lncRNA from 1 species
UUGUAAAGACCAAAAUGCAAAUAAAAAUAUGAAACUUCUAAUUUGAAGUUUUGAGUAGUGAAACUUCAAAUAUAGAGUUUCACUCUUUUGAAUUCAUUUUUGGAUAGCAAAAGAUUUUAUAUUUAAAGUUAUAAAGUGUCUUUGGGAGAUGUUCUAACGUGAACUAUCGUGAACACAAUAUGUGUAAAUUAUUAGUUGGUCUUUCAUCUAUAUCCUUCAUUGUCUCUCAUUUAUUUUUAUUUUAUUUUUUUAACGCUGAUUUAUUAUGAUCUUAUAAUUAUGAUAUGAGAAAGAUUAAAUUGAUGAUUUGACAACCGACAAUACUAUCUGCCUUACGAAGAUCUACGCAUAACUGCAUCACAUGACCCUAUAUAUUCUCCAACUUCUUUUUUUUUUAAUUCCAUUUUCCAUUAAUUUGUUUUAACAUUACGAUAGGUCAAGUUCUGUAUUAAUAUUUUAAAUAUCUAUCUACUUAUCUAUUCAUAUAUUUAGACCAAUCGGUCAAAAGAUCCAAUGGAUUCACAGCAUUUGUUAGUAGAUCUUUGAUCUUGAUAAUAACAGGUUCUAUAUUGAAUUAGAACCGGCCAAACUCCGUACAAUAAAAACUAUCAAUAUUAGUUAAUUAAUUACUUCAUUAACUGAUAAUGAUUAUAAUCCCUU